rnacentral:lncRNA from 1 species
UUCGCUAGUGUGUCCUACCUAAGCUUAUUUGUUGGUCGGUCAUAAUAUAGGGAUAUUAUGUGAUAUGUUAAUUUCUUUAAUUAACCCUUGUUUUGUGACAGUAUUUGAGAAUGGUAGCUAAAAAUGUUAACAAUGGAGUAUAUGAGACCGUGGAGACACCUUUAAUCACAAAUCAGGAGAAUGUGCAACAGGAAGACAAUAUUCCUCCUGUAAAC